UACGAAGGGGGCUAGCGUUGUUCGGAAUCACUGGGCGUAAAGCGCACGUAGGCGGAUUUUUAAGUCAGGGGUGAAAUCCCGAGGCUCAACCUCGGAACUGCCUUUGAUACUGGAGAUCUUGAGUCCGGAAGAGGUAAGUGGAACUGCGAGUGUAGAGGUGAAAUUCGUAGAUAUUCGCAAGAACACCAGUGGCGAAGGCGGCCGACUGGGCCGAUUCUGACGCUGAGACCCGAAAGCUAGGGUAGCGAACCGG
rnacentral:rRNA from 1 species